ensembl:lncRNA
GUGUUCGUGUCCCGCCUGGAGGAAAACUUUCUCCCGGGUGGGAAGAGGCACAAUAGGCGGACCAGUUGCACUUGAUCCCGGGUAGCGGAGGCACCGGAACCGGUCCGUGAGCCCGGUACCGCCUGCUGCCGCGAGCUCCCUCAGCCGCGUUGCGUCUGCAACCAACUGUCUUUCUGCACCGCGCGCUGGCGGCAGCCAGCGGUCACACGCCAAGCGCUCCCCCGGAACGGGCCCGGGCGUGUGGACCCGGGCGGGCUCGUCUUACCUUCUCCUGCAGAGCGCGGACUGGUUCGCACGGUUCUUCUUCGGGCGCGUUCGGUUUCAGAAGGCUGGGGGCGGGUCUUGCGUCCGCUCUUGGUGUCGCCGCCGCGGAUUGGCCAACGGCGAUUUUUACGUCACUUCCUGCUGAGACAGGAGCUCUUGGCCGCAGAGAGCUGCGGGGUUUCAGUCCGGGGGGUGAAGAGCAACAACAAACAACAAACAACAAACCAACAUGCAGGACAUGGGCGGCACCAUUCUGUGUUGGUGUUUUUUGGCUGGGCGGAGUUACAUAGUGACGUCAAGAGCAAAACAAAACACACAACUAUUGUUUUAACUGAUUCACACGACAAAGUAACACAUGUAUCAAUGGUUUUUUUAUUAUGAAUAAAAUUUCAAGUUAAUAAACACUUUUAUUACACUUUUAUUCAGUCGUAUACGUUUUAAUCAGUCGAGUACUUUUCUCAAUCGCUAAUGUAGGCUACUUUAUUCUUCAUCUCACAGGAACCCUAAAUCAUCAUCACGAAAGUAAACAACAACAAGUCAGAGCGGUGAGGAGCAAUGACCCCCGUCGGCCAGAGCGUCCGCCGACACAGUGUCACUCCAAGGCCUCUGGAAAACUAGAAAUAGAUGAUAGACAGGUUGAUGGACACAGAUGUUGAUGGACACAGAGGUUGAUAGACAGGGAGGUUGAACCGAUCGGUGGCGGUUAAGUAGAUGGACAGGCAGUAGAGGGACAGGCAGUAGAGGGACAGGCAGUAGAUGGACAGGCAGUAGAGGGACAGGCAGUAGAUGGACAGGCAGUAGAGGGAC